UGGGAGGAAAUCAAGGCUAUAAUAAGGGAGAUGGUAUGUGAAGAGAAAAGAGAGUUGGAGGUGUGGAGAGGAGGAGUUCCAGCAGCUGUGUAGAGUAAAUAGAGGUCUUGAGAAGAAGCUGGACAUUUUCCAGCAGAGGGCUGGACAGCAGCUGGACGCUACAGGAGAGGAGAACGCACAGUACAGUGAUGGAAGGCUAUGGUUGAGCAGUGUGCAAAUUAGCAACAACGUUUGGCAGUGGAAGGAGCAAGAGAAGUGGAGAACGGGUUUGAUCAGAGUGUGAGGGAUUACAAUUCCCAUAUGCCAUUUGCCUUUCGUGUGCAGCCAAUGCAGCCAAAUCUUCAAGAAAGGAUCUGAUAUAAUACUCUGUCAAAUCAAAACUCCAUCUUGCUGUUUUCAUCACAAUCUUAUGUGCAUGUCACAACUUUUUAAGUAUGUUUUGCUAUCUGUUUGUUGCUAAUAAACAACUCAAUUUCACUUCGUCAUUCAACUCACUCUUAUGCGUCUCCGACUUUGUCUCCUGUUUUGUGUGUUUGUCUCACUAUUAUAUAUACUUUCGCCUCCUCA